rnacentral:rRNA from 1 species
ACGACUCUCGGCAACGGAUAUCUCGGCUCUCGCAUCGAUGAAGAACGUAGCGAAAUGCGAUACCUGGUGUGAAUUGCAGAAUCCCGCGAACCAUCGAGUCUUUGAACGCAAGUUGCGCCCGAGGCCAUUCGGCGGAGGGCACGCCUGCCUGGGCGUCACGCCAAA